rnacentral:rRNA from 1 species
UACGAAGGGGGCUAGCGUUGUUCGGAAUUACUGGGCGUAAAGCGCGUGUAGGCGGCCUGCUAAGUCUGAUGUGAAAGCCCGGGGCUCACCCCCGGAAGUGCAUUGGAAACUGGUAGGCUCGAGUCCCGGAGAGGAGGGUGGAAUUCCUGGUGUAGCGGUGAAAUGCGUAGAUAUCAGGAAGAACACCGGUGGCGAAGGCGGCCCUCUGGACGGAUACUGACGCUGAGACGCGAAAGCGUGGGGAGCAAACAGG